AUACGGAGGGUGCAAGCGUUGUUCGGAAUUACUGGGCGUAAAGGGUCGCGUAGGCGGUUUGAUAAGUCAGAUGUGAAAGCCCACGGCUUAACCGUGGAAGUGCAUUUGAAACUGUCAGACUUGAGUACCAGAGGGGAAAGUGGAAUUCCCGGUGUAGAGGUGAAAUUCGUAGAUAUCGGGAGGAAUACCGGUGGCGAAGGCGACUUUCUGGCUGGAUACUGACGCUGAGGCGCGAAAGCGUGGGGAGC
rnacentral:rRNA from 1 species